GACGAACCGAGCGAACGUUGUUCGGAAUCACUGGGCGUAAAGCGCACGUAGGCGGACUCUUAAGUCGGUGGUGAAAUCCUGGAGCUCAACUCCAGAACUGCCUUCGAUACUGAGAGUCUUGAGUCCGGGAGAGGUGAGUGGAACUGCGAGUGUAGAGGUGAAAUUCGUAGAUAUUCGCAAGAACACCAGUGGCGAAGGCGGCUCACUGGCCCGGUACUGACGCUGAGGUGCGAAAGCGUGGGGAGCAAACAGG
rnacentral:rRNA from 1 species